AUUCCAUGUUGUGGACACCGAACCAGAAGCUUCUUGAACCUUUCCCAUUAAGAAUGUAAAGCUUCUCUUUUUCUUUGUUUGAUACCAAAGAUUUCUUUUCUAAGACU